UAAAAGAUAAGCUAAUUAAGCUAGUGGGCUCAUACCCCAUUCAUAUAGGUCAUAAUCCUUUUCUUUUUA
rnacentral:tRNA from 1 species